UUCACGGAGAGUUUGAUCCUGGCUCAGGACGAACGCUGGCGGCGUGCUUAACACAUGCAAGUCGAACGAUGAACCACUUCGGUGGGGA
rnacentral:rRNA from 1 species